rnacentral:ncRNA from 1 species
ACAAAGGCAAUGAAAAAGAGGAGUAAAAACUGAAAGUAUUAUAAGGAAACUCGCUUUUAUAAGAUGAGAAGUACAGUUCUUUUAAACUAAACUGUAGAUUUAGAAAGAACAAAAAAGAGAGAGGGAAUAGGUGAAAGCCCUUAUAUGGAAGGUUUUGAAGGUAGCUUUUGAGCUUCUUUGGUGAAAUAAUAGUAGCUAAAGACGGUUUUUCUAAAUCGUUAAUUAAUUAAGAGUCCAUUAAAGCAUUAUAUUUUGCUUAUGUGGAAAUAAAGGUGGUACCGCGAGUCUUCGUCCUUUUA